rnacentral:rRNA from 1 species
UACGGAGGGUGCAAGCGUUAUCCGGAUUCACUGGGCUUAAAGGGCGCGUAGGCGGCCUUCUAAGUCGAACGUGAAAUCCCCGGGCUCAACCCGGGAACUGCGUCCGAUACUGGAAGGCUUGAAUCCGGGAGAGGGAUGCGGAAUUCCAGGUGUAGCGGUGAAAUGCGUAGAUAUCUGGAGGAACACCGGUGGCGAAGGCGGCAUCCUGGACCGGCAUUGACGCUGAGGCGCGAAAGCCAGGGGAGCAAACGGG